rnacentral:rRNA from 1 species
UACAGAGGUCUCAAGCGUUGUUCGGAUUCAUUGGGCGUAAAGGGUGCGUAGGCGGCGCGGUAAGUCGGGUGUGAAAUCUCGGAGCUUAACUCCGAAACUGCAUUCGAUACUGCCGUGCUUGAGGACUGGAGAGGAGACUGGAAUUUACGGUGUAGCGGUGAAAUGCGCAGAUAUCAGGAGGAACACCGGUGGCGAAGGCGGAUCUCUGGGCCUUACCUGACGCUGAGGCGCGAAAGCUAGGGGAGCGAACAGG